UGGAAGUAAAGUCGUAACAAGGUUUCCGUAGGUGAACCUGCGGAAGGAUCAUUAAAAAAUAGGACUUCCAAUGGGAGUUCAUUAAUAAUCCUACCCUUUGUGAAUUUGUUUGUUUGAAAUAAUUUUUUUUCCAAAAAAAUUAUUGAAUGUCUUUCCCUGUUUUUGGUUGAGCGUAAAAGUGGAGACCAAGCAGGGGAAUGGCAAACAUUAAUUUUUUUGAAAAAAGACCUUUUUUUAAAAUUAAACUUUUUGUAUUCAUCUGUCUAAAAUUAUUUUAUAAUAUAAAAACAACUUUUGACAAUGGAUCUCUUGGUUCUCGCAACGAUGAAGAACGCAGCAAAAUGCGAUAAGUAAUGUGAAUUGCAGAAUACGUGAAUCAUCGAAUCUUCGAACGCAUAUUGCACUUUUUUAGUUUACUAAAAAGUAUGUCUGUUUGAGUAUCAGUAAAAUAUUCUCAUAAAAAACUUUUUUGUUUUUUAUGGUUAUGAGUGUUUUACAACGAUAACAAGUUGUUUCACUUUAAAUUCUUUGAAAUUUAAAAAAUCGUUAAAACUAAUUUUAAAAUGAUUUUUUAAAAUUGGAUAAAAUUUUCCCGUAAAAAAGGAAUAACCUAAACAAUUUUAAAAAAUUUAAAAUUGGUUGAUUUUUUUAAAUCCCAAAAGGAAAAAAGUAAAAAUUAACUUGAUCUCAAUCAGAUAAGAGUACCCGCUGAACUUAAGCAUAUCAAUAAGCGGAGGAAAAGAAACUAACUAGGAUUCCCUCAGUAACGGCGAGUGAAGCGGGAAGAGCUCAAAUUUGAAAUCUUCAAGGUCUACCUUGACGAAUUGUAGUUUAAGAAGUGUUUUCUGUUGGAAUAGUUUGGUAUAAGUUCUUUGGAAUAGGACAUCAUGGAGGGUGAGAAUCCCGUAACGACCAUUUAUUCCAGCUCUGUGAUACACUUUCAAAGAGUCGGAUUGUUUGGGAAUGCAGUCCAAAAUGGGUGGUAAAUUUCAUCUAAAGCUAAAUAUUGGCGAGAGACCGAUAGCGAACAAGUACCGUGAGGGAAAGAUGAAAAGAACUUUGAAAAGAGAGUUAAACAGUACGUGAAAUUGUCAAAAGGGAAGCGUUUGACACCAGUGUUGUUUUCUCGAAAAUCAAUUAAAAAUGGCUUGAUUUUGUGUAAGGUGACCUUAUCAGCGUUUUGCACUCUUUUCUUGUCCUUUUUUAAUGCACUUUUCGUUUAACAAGUCAACAUCAAUUUCUUUUGUUGUAAAAGAGUCAUUGGAAGGUGGCUUUCUUUUCGGAGAAAGUGUUUAUAGCCUUUGGCUUCUGCAAUCGGAGAGAUUGAGGUCUGCAGCGUAGAUCCUUCGGGGUUAGAUGCAUUAGUGCUAAGUUAUAGCCUUUCAUAGACAACUUGUUGACUAUGAUCAGUCAUGUAGCUUACUCGCUGAUGCUAUUUUACCUACGCUUAGGAUGUUGAC
rnacentral:misc_RNA from 1 species